CUGAGGUGUCUCGUUGCUACUGUGCCCUCAACUUCGAAGACUUCGACCAGAAGUUACCGUGACUCUUCACAUUUCCUCCAAAAGAACAAUAGUCUUUUUAAAGACUCCCUCUCCACCUUCCCUCUCAACCUUCCCUUGUGGUGCGGCUGUUUUUGCCAUUGAAAAAAGAAAAUCUCCAUCCUGCCUUCUUUGUGGUGCUGCAGACUUUUCAGGCUUGUUCCAGACCAGCCCUGUCAGAGUGGUGUCUGUCACUUGUGACACUGUGCCUGUCUGUCUGCACACCCUGCACUGCACUCAUAUACAACAGAACCCACUUACGCCUACCUGCAAACAUAUAACGACAAGUGACACUUUCUGAGAACAUACUUGACUGCACAUACUCUACUCUUUACAUAUAACUGUGUCCCCUCAGACAACUUCUUUGACUUUGAAACUUGAAUACUCCUUUGAAACUUGAAUACUCCUUUGAAACUUGAAUACUCCUUUGAAACUUGAAAACUUGGAAACUUGAAUACCACUCUGAACCAGCAGCAUCCUUUAACAUAACAUACCUACAAACAUACCUGCAAACAUAUAACGACA